AGGACAAUAAUGCUGAAAGCAUUUGAAAUUUAUCAAUUUUCACUCUAGCAGAAGGUAGUUUCGGACUUUGCCGAUUAUUACAAAUGAGGCCUUAUCACUGAAGUUUGUAACAUCCGAUAUCAGCGGAUAACUGCCAUUGCAUUUAGCGACAGCUGUAAACAGAAUGGCAGAAGAACCUUUUGAGAGGACGGAAAAGAAACCCGAGCCUGUCAGCAUUACCUCCCCUGAAAUGUAAGAAACUGGUGGAUUCCAAGACAAAAUUGUGGAAAAUGGAGACAUCUUCAAAUAACAGAAAGAAAUAAAGGCUGAAGAGGCAGGAUCACAGAUGUCAGAUGAAAGUUACCGCAAAAAAGGUUAAGUUGGAAAAGAGUGAAAAUGAAAAUGGAUGCUUGUGCAGUGACUGAAGUUGAAGUCAUAAAUUGAGGAUGAUGAAGCUACACGAAAAAGCUCUCAGCUCUACAGUCCGAGUCUGACCGACUUGUCCGA